CAUUGUUGUUAUUAGGGUAUUUAGUGCACCAGAUGAGGUAUACCACAUGUUGAGAUAGGCAUGUGUAAGAUCCAUGGAUCCUGAAAGGUGAGCAUGGGGUGUUGAUCAUUGUAGCAGUGGA